rnacentral:rRNA from 1 species
UACCAAUCAGCUAGCCCACCCCUAAAAAUCAACCAACCACCAUGCAUAACCCCUAAUACACUGACUCUUACAUAUUGAACAAACCAUUUUUCCCCUUUAGUAUGGGCGACAGAAAGAGGCCUAAGGCGCUAUAGAAAAAGUACCGUAAGGGAACGCUGAAAGAGAAAUGAAACAGCCCAGUGAAGUUCUAAAUAGCAGAGCUUAGACCUCGUACCUUUUGCAUCAUGAUUUAGCCAGUGUAAACCAAGCAAAUUGCACUUUAGUUUGAUAACCCGAAACUAUGUGAGCUACUCCAAGGCAGCCUGGAUUAUAGGGCAAACCCGUCUCUGUUGCAAAAGAGUGGGAAGACCUUCGAGUAGGGGUGACAGACCUACCGAACUUAGUUAUAGCUGGUUGCCUGAGAAUUGAAUAGGAGUUCAGCCUCCCGGCUUCUUUAUUCCCCUUAACCAUGUUAAACAUUAGGAUAACAAGAAAACUAGGAGAGUUAGUCAAAGAAGGUACAGCUUCUCUGACAUAAGAUACAACUUUUCCAGGAGGGUAAAGAUCAUAUUUUAAUUAAGGCUUAGCGCUCCCGUGGGCCUGACAGCAGCCAUCUGAACAAAAAGCGUUAAAGCUUAUGCGUAACCUCCUCCCUUUAAUUAUGAUCAAUUAAUCUUAACCCCCUAAUUCUACCGGGCUACCCCAUGCAAACAUGGGGGAAACCCUGCUAAUAUGAGUAAUAAGAGAGACUUAUACCUCUCUCCCUGCACACGUGUAAAUCAGAACGGAUAUACCGCUGAAUAUUAACGGCCUCAUUCAAAGAGAGUAAUGAGCAACACAAUAAAGAACUGGAAAAACCCUCAACUAAAACCGUUAACCCUACACAGGAGUGCUAACAGGGAAAGACUAAAAGAAAAAGAAGGAACUCGGCAAACAUAACUAAGCCUCGCCUGUUUACCAAAAACAUCGCCUCUUGUAUUCCAAAAAUAAGAGGUCCCGCCUGCCCUGUGACACUAGUUUAACGGCCGCGGUACCCUAACCGUGCGAAGGUAGCGCAAUCACUUGUCUCUUAAAUGGGGACCUGUAUGAAUGGCAUAACGAGGGCUUAACUGUCUCCUUUUUCAGGUCAAUGAACUUGAUCUCCCCGUGCAGAAGCGGGCAUAUAGACAUAAGACGAGAAGACCCUAUGGAGCUUUAGACACAGGACAGACCCUGUCAAGCCUCCACCAGGAGUAAAACUAAGUAAUCAUCUGUUACAUGUCUUUGGUUGGGGCGACCGCGGAGUAAAAUUUAACCUCCUACGUUGAAGGGGGGAGCCUUUGAACUUACCCUCUAGAGUCGAGAGCCACAGCUCUAAGCAACAGAACCUUUGACCAGCUAAGAUCCGGCAAAGCCGAUCAACGGACCGAGUUACCCUAGGGAUAACAGCGCAAUCCUCUUCUAGAGUACAUAUCGACGAGAGGGUUUACGACCUCGAUGUUGGAUCAGGACAUCCUGAUGGUGCAGCAGCUAUCAAGGGUUCGUUUGUUCAACGAUUAAAGUCCUACGUGAUCUGAGUUCAGACCGGAGUAAUCCAGGUCGGUUUCUAUCUAUGGCGUAGUCCUUCCUAGUACGAAAGGACCGGAAAGAUGGGGCCAAUGCCCCAUGUACGCCUUACCCCUAUCUUAUGAAGGCAACUUAAUAAGGCAAGAGGACAUACCCCUCUUGUCUUAUUUAAAGACU